CGGAGAAGUCCUGGCCGUUUACUGGCUCGCUGCAUAAUGAAGAGAGACGGAGCUGGAGGAGGCUUGAGGGGGAUGGAGAUGUCUGUUUGGUGAGCGCAUCCUUCAGGAGGACAUUCAUAGCUUUAAUGCUGAAUCUCACAAUGGAUUAGAACGGAAGAUCUGCUGUGAAGCUGUUAGCUGAGGAGAGAGCGUUCUCAUGACGUGGGAUCAGAACCCAAAGGCGCUCUGCCAUACAGCAGGUUCAAGGACGUUACGAGCCGAAAGCGUCUGUGGAAUAGGGUUUAAAUAGUAUUUGUGUUGCAGAGCUCUCCUGCUCGUGUAAUAUUGACUUAAAAGUGGAGCACAAACUGAGCGAGACCUCGCAGACAUUACAGUAUCAGUGGAAGGAACUGAACUGAUCGUUUUCAUUUUGAAUCAGCAGUUUGUCUGGACGAUAAAGGUUAUGUUCACACCGCAGAUUAAUGACGCAGAAACUGGAUUUCAGGCUAAAAUGCAAAACACAAGUGCAGCAGGACAGAGAGGAUUCAUGGAAGAAAUUAUUGUUUUAUAAUGAGGAGAACAAGAAGCUACUCUCUGACAUAACGCCGGGAGUGAGAUGAGCAAACACUGGGCUGCUAACAAGAGCCUGAGGGCUCAGUUAGAUGAAAGAGAUCAGACGCUGAAGGAGCUGCACCAGAGGGUUGGUGUUUCAGAGAGGGAUGUGACGAUGAAGAGGCAGCUGGUGGAGGAUCUCAGAUGCAGACUAUAGAUCUGCCAGAACACUGAGACGAGCCACAGAUCAGCGGCUGAAGACUUGGAGAAGAAAGAAGAUGGAAUCUCUCACUGAUGAGGCAGCUUACCGAAGAGAAGAUUGACAGAUGCCACUGCAGAACAAAACCAGCAUGAGGCAACCAGCCAAAAACUCAAAGAAGAGCUUCAGAGAAAGGUUCAAGAGCAUCUGUACAUCACUCAGGAAUCGUAAUGCUUUUUUUGGGCUUGUCCUGCGUUGUAUUGCAGGAUGGCUUUUUCUUUCUCUUUCUUUAUUCACCUAAUUACCAUCAGUCUCGUUUGAUGUUUGGCGCCAAAUGCCAUACUUUGCCCCAGUUUCAUCGUUCAGUUCAUUCUAUCCGUUAUAUACUAUCUCCUAAUUGGUGAAACGCUUGUUAAGUGUGUUUAUUCCUCAGGAGCAGAGAAUGGCCGUCCUAGUCAUCACUGGGAAUGUAACGAUUCACUCAACUCGAUUUAUUUUUCUUUUUUUACAAAAUUAGAUUUAAGACAAAUUAUAAAUUAAAUGUGUCCUUUUAUUAUUGCUUGGACAAAAUGCUGCAUGUUUCUUUGUGAAAUUGAAAUGUAACACUAUAAUAAUAUACUAAAAUAGCACUUAUCACUGUUCUUUUGUUGGUUUUGAUUGCUUCUAUUGUCCUCAUUUGUAAGUCGCUUUGGGUUGAAGCAUCUGCUAAAUGACUAAAUCUAAAUAUAAUGUAAAUGUAAAUAACAAAACUAAAUUGAAAUUUAAAAAUAAGUAACACAAAUAAAAGAAAUCUUGGUCUGUGCUCUUUCCAUUUAAAAUGAGAGGCAACCACUGCAUUUUAAUCAUGAGCAGUUUUUAAUCUAAAUUAGAUUGUAUAACUUUAAAUUUAAAGCAAAAACAGAAUGGUUUGACUUCAGUUUUGUGAAACUAUACAUAAAAAAUAUUUGCAUGAAGCAGAAACUGAAACAGCAGAUGAGCUGAACGAGACGCAGAUUCACUCUCUGCCAGCAG
ensembl:lncRNA